rnacentral:rRNA from 1 species
AUUGAACGCUGGCGGCAGGCCUAACACAUGCAAGUCGAACGAGUGGCGGACGGGUGAGUAAUGUCUGGGAAACUGCCCGAUGGAGGGGGAUAACUACUGGAAACGGUAGCUAAUACCGCAUACCAUCGGAUGUGCCCAGAUGGGAUCAGCUAGUAGGUGGGGUAACGGCCCACCUAGGCGACGAUCCCUAGCUGGUCUGAGAGGAUAACAAGCCAAACAGGAACGGAGACACGGUCAAGAUUCCUACGGGAGUCAGCAGUAGGGAAUAUUGAACAAUGGACGAAAGCCUGAUCCGGCCCUGCAGCGAGAAUGAAGACGGCCUUCGGGUUGUAAAGACCUUUGAGCGAGGAGGCGUUCCUCGCAGAAGAAGCACCGGCUAACUCCGAGCCAGCAGCCUCGGGAAUUC